rnacentral:lncRNA from 1 species
AUGGGAGAAGCAUAUCUUAUUUGGAGAGUGCUGGAGCACCUUUGUCAUGCAGAGAGAUUGCGGGACUCUUCCCCACUGCUGUACUAUGCAAGCAUUUCAACUUUGAGCAUUAGCACUACGUUGGACUCAUUCUGUCAGCAUCAACCAUUUCACCCCAGGAAACAACAGGAAGGAGUUUUCCAUUCAGUGGAGUAAGGAAAAGACUUCACCUGGAAGCAGGCACUGGAGAGAACCUGGAGGGCUGCUGGAGCUGGCGUUGGAGGUACAGCCACAGUAAGCUGCAGAAGAGAUUUGUCUGCAAGACGUUUUCCUCAUUUGAAAUGUCAGGAUAGCUAGGUAGCCACAGGGCAUCUACAUGUGCUUUUACAGUAAACGUGAGGGCUUUAGGGAGGCUUUACGUUAUAAAACUGCCUAGGUUUCACUGGCUCAGGAAAGAAGCAAGGCAAUCAGCAUAUUAAAGCUUUCUUUUGCUUUGUUAAUUCCCAUACAUUCCUGAUAACAGCAUUUGUCACAGAAAUUGGCAGCAUUUCAACAUUGACUUUCCAGCUCUUGACAAACACAUUCAUAUUUAAAGUGUUCAUUCUAUACAGCGGUGGAAGUGUUUUCUUUUUAUUCGGGAAUAAAGCAGGAAAGCAUCCUGCCUUGGUUUUUUUG